CGGGCUGUAGCGCAGGGGUUUAGCGUACUAGUCUGGGGGACUAGGGGUCGACGGUUCAAAUCCGUCCAGCCCGAC
rnacentral:tRNA from 1 species